rnacentral:SRP_RNA from 1 species
CGCCAGGCCCAGCGCAAUGACUGCUUGCGAACCAUGUCAGGUCAGGAAUGAAGCAGCAUUAAGCAAUGUCAGUUAUGUGCCGCUGUCCGCCUGGCAUUU